GCUGUUAAGGGUUCGUAGUUGAAUUCGGGGCUGACGAGUAAACGGUGGCGCCUGUCCUUCGGGAGGUUUCAACCACCGUUCUCGCAGCCCGAGAACAUUCGAAACAAACAUCACGGAAUCGUUUCCACCCAACUUUCGCAUACAAUGUAUGCAGGGGGACGUCCGUGUUUCAUUACUGUGCAAAAGAAGAGUGAUCAAAGCAGUCAUUCGACAUGAAUUAGAAAGCAUGGGAUAACAAGGAGCGGCCUACGAGCUUCCAUUUUGGCUUUUGUUGGUUUUAAGGGUUUGUGGGAGAUUGUGGCGCGCAAGACCGGUUGUUCGGGGCUACGGUUCCGACAGCUUUCUGCUCUGGCCUUCGGGUCUCUGUGACUUGCAGUGUCCAGGAAUGAAGGAGGGUUGUUCGGGGGAGAACGUCUUGAGCGUGAGAGGUGAAAUUCUUAGACCGCUCAAAGACGAACUACAGCGAAGGCAUUCUCCAGGAUACCUUCCUCAAUCAAGAACCAAAGUGUGGAGAUCGAAGAUGAUUAGAGACCUUGUAGUCC
rnacentral:rRNA from 1 species